rnacentral:lncRNA from 1 species
ACAGUCAGGGAAAAGUCGCGGUUUCACCCAUGGAGCACGCAGGAGAGAAGCUUGCAGUACAGCGGGGUUCGGGGCUCAGACCAUGGGAGCCUGCAGGACCCGAGCUGUGCCUCAGAGCCGUGCGAGGUCUGGACUCUGCCUCGGGAAUUGGAGUUCUCCGGAGUAAAACCCACGAAGAGCACCACAGGAGGCUGCGGGAUCUGGGGAAGCCCUGCUCCCCGGGAUCCCACGGAGACUUCCAGGAGCGUGGAAUCGAUGGACAGACUGACGGACACAAAGGCCAGGCUCUGGGAGGUCUAGGAUUCCGUGGCCGCCCCGCCUCCCCCAGCCUCCCUCCCCUUCCCCCACUACCUGAGGCUCUGAAGCUUCCCGCUUCCUGGCUGUAACUGAGAUCUGGCAGCUCUCGCUCUGUGCCAAUGACUGGCUGCGUAACCGAACUCAGGCCUCACAUGAGAGACGCUUGCUCUCACAUCGUUCAAGGUAAGAUAUAGUUCAUGUGCUUCAGACUUCUAGACCUUUCCUCUGUGUGGGUCUCUCACCCCUGGACAGGCCUGGGCUACCACUCAGUGAUAGAACAUGUACCUAGAAUGCGCAAAGGCAUUGGGGGGUGGGGAGGGGUGGAGUAUUAAAACAUUUAAAAGCCACCAUUUAAAAGGCACCCUGGUGUCCUUUUCCACAUUGCCUUCCUUUGCAUCUCCUGUCUUCGGUCUUUUAUCUUCCAGGGAGAAGCUUGCCCUGAUAGUAUCUACGGAUUGACAUCCCGAUACCAACACCUUCCAUGCUCACACCGCACCCCCGGGUGCCCCUCACUUCCUCUGCAUGGCUGGGCGGCCUCUCACAGCUGUGUUCCCUCAUUCCACCUGCGAGUGGGGAAAAAUCAAUAUUUUCGAGGAAUGAAUGGACAUGUCUUUCUCUGUCAGGUGAGCCUACUUAAGGAAACAACUCAAGUCAGAAGAAAUCUUGGCUACUGAAGCUUAGGAUGAGCCAAGCUGGAAACACCUCCAGUCCGUGUUCGAGGCAGCAGAGGGGUCACGUGACCGGCGCACCUCCGCUUCUCCUAGGGCUUCCGUUUUGUUUUGUUUUUUCCCCCCCAAAGCUGUGGGGGUAGAAUGACCCUUUCACAGGGGUCACGUAAGAUAAUCGGAAAACACAGAUACUUAUGUUACAAUUCAUAACAGUAGCAAAAUUACAGUUAUCAAAAAGCAA